rnacentral:lncRNA from 1 species
AAACUUUUCCUUUCUCUAAUUUACUAAACCCGCGCUACGUCUUUCAGUCCAAUUUUUUUAUUUAAUAUUUUUAGCAUCUAACACCUAAGCCCUAAUAUUUUCCAACCCCAAUCCCUCCGUCAAACCUAAUCUCCGGCGAGUCUUCUCCUCUGGCCACACCUUCAUCGAGCACGCUUCUAGGUCUGUUGAGGUAAGCUCUAGCAGAGAAAUUUAUUUUCUUUCCUUUGUGUGUAGGCUUUAGAUGAGAAAUCUCAAGAGUAUUGUCAAAUUUCUUCAAGUUUGUUGCUUUUGGUUCUGCUUCUGAAUUAUUUUGCUCAAGGCAAAAUAGCAUCUCUCAACACUGUAGUGUUUUCCCUAAGAUUGGAAAUUUGGUCAUAUCAAUAAUCAAGAGAUAAGCAACUGAAUGUUGAUGGUUGAUGGGUGGACCCUUCUUAUAAUUUCACAAUAUGCUUUUGAUUCAGUUCUCACCUUGAAUCUGAAGAGACCACCUUCAGAAAUCUACAGGAGGUACUUAUUUUUCAAAAACUUCUAUCAUAGCACAGAGAAAAGUGUACAGAGAAAAUUCCAUCUUUAACGAAGUAAAUAUUUGGUUGUUAUGUUAGUUCCGUAAGCACGACACUGCACCCGGUAUGUUAAUGCUAUCUUUGUCCUGAAACCUUAAGAAGAUUUUUGAAUUAUUGCUGAUAUUGUAUAUGGUUUAGGAACUUUUGUUAUCAAACAUUUUGCUGAUAUUGUAAUGUAUGAUUUCUUUUGGGGAGAGGUGAUUAGGCAGGAUAUGGCGCGACUCAGGAUAACUGAGGACAUGACCCUUGAUAGGAAAUUGUGGAGGUCGAGCAUUAAUGUCGUAGGUUAGGGGGAAGUUGUGAAUAUUUCUACGGUACACCAGAGUGAGACUAACCAGUUAGGAUUUAGUUCUAGGAUGCUAGUGGUUAUCUACUGAUGUAGGGUUUUAUCUGCUAGUUAUUAUUGUACUUUGAAUUUAUUUCGUAUUUCUUAUAUUGCUGUUAUUUUAUUAUGAUUCUAUUGAUGAUACUAAUAUAUUGUCUCUUGUUGCCUUCUUGAGCCGAGGGUCUCCUGGAAACAGCCUCUCUGCCCCUCGAGGUAGGGGUAAGGUCUGCGUAUAUAUUACCCUCCCCGACCCCACUUGUGGGAUUACACUGGGUCGUUGUUAUUGUUGUAAUGUAUGAUAAUUGUAUGUAGUUAAACUUGAUAGUUGUGCAUUUUGGGACAAAGUUAUUCUUGAGGAUCCAAUCGAUAGGUACUUAUUCCAGAAUCAACUCUUGACUUCAAUUGCUAGUAUACUACUUUAAUUCAUCCUAUAAUAUUUCUGUUUGGUGAUGCAUGAGUUUAAUUCUUAAAGAACAAUUCAUCUUUCUUAUCUUAUACAUCUGAAAAUUCCUAGCUACUUUCGCUGUUUAGGAUGGUGGAAUAAUGGAUGUGUUAAAUCUAUAUGUUUUAGACUGUAAGUUCUCCUUUGCUUUUCUUCUUAUUCUGUUUGAUGUUUUUCCUAUUUGUUCUCUCUUUUACUGGAAUAAAAAUAAGAUUUUAGAGUUUGAUACUAAGUUCGAUUUAAAAAUUAUAGUGAAAUAUUACUUACCGAGCAUAGAAAUAAGUGGUGAUAUUAGUUAGUAAAGCCUUGACUAUAAAUAUUACUUACCGGGCAUGUAUUACUGCAUACUUCGUAGAGUAUUUGACUUAUUUGUUGUUGUGUUGUAGUUACUGGAUUUCUUACCUUCUUAUUUCAUUGUUAUUCCGCUUUCCAACUGGUUAGUUUCCUGAACGACGCAUUAUGAUUCCUUUACGUGUUAGUUAGUGUUAGAAUAAAUUCGCCCUCCUGUUUAUUUUCUUUUACUCUAUUUGCGCAUUCUGUAUAUUCUUGGCCAUGCCAAGUGCCAUACGACACUCUAUUGAAAUUAUGCCAAUAUAAUGACCAGGUACGUCUCUUAUGAAUCCUUCCUGAAGGACUUCGAAUAAUAUCUCUAUAUGCAUGAUAUUUAGUGUUUGAACAUAUUUAGACACAUGUCACCUAGAUGCCAUGCCGUUAGGACUUUAAUCACUUAGAUAUUAUGUCAUAAGGGAUAAUAAGCAUAUUCUUAUGUAUCUAUAUUCAUUAUGCUUUACUUUCUUUGGCUUAUUCGACUGAGAAUGAAUUGAACUCUUAGCAUAUCAGAAUCUAGAAUAAUUCAAUCUGCAACACUUGAAGCAUAUCAUAUCUGUCCUCUGUCUAGUUGGGAUAAUUAAGAUACUAAUGGGAAUGUUAGAAAUCAUUAGGAAAUGGGCUAUAACCAGUUAUACUCAAAUCAGUUUUUUUUGUGUGUGUUUUAAUUUGUUCAAAUACAUGUUUGGAUUUACAAUAUCUGUUGCAGUAGGGUAUUGAUAAUUGUUCAAAUAUCACAAAAACCGUUGUAAUAUAUCAUCAAAACCGUUGCAAUAGACUUAAAAAAUCGCUAGUAUAAUUAUACCACAACGGUUUAUAACCGCCCUAAUAGAAAAGAAAAUUAUUCCCAUAGAUAUAACAAAUUGUAACAGUACUUACAAUACCCCCUAUAUGGAGACGGUUUUGAAACCGUUACAAAUAACCGUUCCAAUAGACCUAUUGUAACAUUGAAUCCUGGAACGCGUCCAAAUCCGUUCUGAUAGCCCUAUAGGGACAGUUAGUGUAUCUAUUGCCACGGUUUUGGAAGGGUUGCCAUAGGAGUAAUUUCUAGUAGUGGGCCAUGACCUUUUGGUCACAUAACAGAAGAUACAUUACCAUAUUCUCCUUUUUAUAAUAAGUGGCUGAGUAAUAUGAUAUAAAAGAAUAUGUUUUGUGGUUUUGUAGUAACCUAUGAUUUGUCAGAUCUAUUACCUAUUGUGAUUACCUUUUUUUUGGUUAAAAAAGUGCAUUUCAUUAUAAACUACCCAUUAGUGUGCCAAUUGACAGAAGCAUUAUUUCGAGGAGGUAUAUCAAUUCACCCUCAUUGUGACUAAAGUUAUCAAUAUUAUAAUCCAAAAUUUGUCUUGAUGAAACAGUUCCUGUGAUGUCUGCUCAAAAAAUAUGUGCGGCAAACACCGGAGGAACUGUUGUUACAAAAGUAUUUUCAAAAAAGUUCUUCUUGGCUCCUUCCUUGGCUAGUAGAUCAGCUACUCUGUUCAUCUCCCUGUAACUGUGCUUCACCACCACGUCUCUUAGCCUUUGGAUGAUUGACAUGCAUUCAAAGAUAAUAGAGUAAAAAAUAAGGUUUCCAUUAAUAAGCAUUCUAAUUACCUCUGUGGAGUCUGUGUUGAUUUCCAAGGGUAUAAGAUGCCUUUCUUCUGCUAGUUGCAGACCCUUUAGGAUAACAAGCAAUUCAGCCUGUGUGUUGGUAGUAUGCUGUAUACUCCCCAUGUAGCCCAGAAUCCAAUUCCCACUUGCAUUUCCGAAGAAACCUCCCACUCCUCCCUUGCCAGGGUUCCCUAGUGCAGCUCCAUGAGUGUUGAGCUUGUACAUAUUGGUGGGGGGUGGCAUCCAUUUGACCCAAGUAGUUCUAUUCUUUGUUGGUGCAUUGCUUAUUGAGAUGGUAAAAUACUCAAUUGCUUUUGCCAUGGUAGCUUUUAAAUUUACCAUAUCCUUUCUUUUGUUGAAUAGAUUAUUGUUUCUUGUGAGCCAGAUUUUCCAGAAGUAGAAAGGAAAUAGGUCUUCCCAAUUGAUGAUGCUGUUGAUGGGUUUCUUUUUAAGGAAAUCCCAUAUGCUUUGCCAGUCCUUACUGUUAAAGGAGGAUACAUGGCUUGGAAGAGAGUUUGUACUUUCAGAAGCAAGCUUUGUCCAAAAUGUAUUGGCAUUGGGACAUUCAAAGAAUAUGUGAGAAGAUGUUUUAAUUGUCCGGUUGCGGAAGCAGCAAAUUGUGUCUAAUUGGAUCCUAAUAUGCUGGAGAAAGGACCCAGCGGGGAGCCUGUCAUGAAAUAGGAGCCAGAAGAAAGAUUUGAUUUUAUUUGGCACUUUUAAUUUCCAGAUCCACACGUAAUUGUUGCUUGUGUUUUCACAAUGUUGAUACUCAAGCUUGUGUAGGAGGGAAUAUGCUGACUUUAAAGUGAAGAUCCCAUUAGUGAUAGCCCCCAGAUCAUUCUAUCUUCUUUUAUUGGGUUGGGUGAGAUAAAGGUGUUAUGGAUAAUGUUUUUGAUACUUGGGGGUAUGUUUAGUGAUAUAGAAGAAAGGUCUCAAUCCCCAUUUGAUAGGUUUUAAAUGUCCUCGCAUUAUGUUUUAAUGAUCUAACAAACUUACUAUUAAGAACCAGAUAAGGAACCUGACCUAUUUGGACUAUACUGCAAGUUUAACGGAUUCCAGCUAAAUGUGAACUGCUACAGAUUCAGGAGUUAGGAAACCAAACAAAGACCUGAUACCUUUGUGGUUCCUUCAUAGCAGUACAAAGUCAAUUGGACACAGCUGGAAACGAAGUGACCGCCUGCAUUGUUUCUACGACAUUGCACUGUUUCCAGUGCCCACUUAUUUCUUAACCAACUAAAGUGCUCACAUCAUUUCAAGUGAUGUGAUCAAGGUGUACCAACAAUGGGUUGAUAUUAAAACAUCACUUGAAUGUUUCAGUUUCUCAUUCAAGCCUUUUGCAAAAAUAGAGAAAUCAAUUCUCA